rnacentral:misc_RNA from 1 species
GAUGAAGAACGUAGCGAAAUGCGAUACUUGGUGUGAAUUGCAGAAUCCCGUGAACCAUCGAGUCUUUGAACGCAAGUUGCGCCCGAAGCCAUCAGGUUGAGGGCACGUCUGCCUGGGCGUCACAUAUCGUUGCCCAAUGCAUAUUGCAGUGCAAUAGGAAUUUCUAGGGCGAAUGAUGGCUUCCCGUGAGCGUUGUUGCCUCGCGGUUGGUUGAAAAUCGAGUCCUUGGUAGGGUGUGCCAUGGUAGAUGGUGGUCGAGUUAGAACGAUACCGAUCAUGUGCAUGCUCCCCAAAAUAUGGCCUCUAUGACCCACACGCGUCUUUUGACGCUCAUGACGAGACCUCAGGUCAGGCGGGGCUACCCGCUGAAUUUAAGCAUAUCAAUAAGCGGAGGA